GCGGGGGUACCCGAGCCUGGUCAAAGGGGCAGGGCUUAGGACCCUGUGGCGUAGGCCUGCGUGGGUUCAAAUCCCACCCCCCGCACCA
rnacentral:tRNA from 1 species